AUGUAUGACUAGGGAGAUCUGCUAUUAUAGAUCUUGCUUUUGUUUUAGACCAUAGACCUGCGAAGGGGGGAGCACCGUACGAGAGAGCGGACCCUGCCAUGGGCAUUAAACUGUGCGGCGUUUCUUCUGACCAGCGACUCAGAGGCAGCUCCUGAAAGACUGGGACUGAGCCCGGCACUGGUGAAGUGCUGAUGCCGAAGGGGUGGACCUGACCCUGGGGUGCAGCUCCCGAGGGGCCCGGAUUGCCGGGGGGUUCCUGCCUGCUCGCUAGUGAUGCUCCACUGGGCAGGCGGGAGGAGGUCACGCCUGGGUGCAGGAGUGAAAGUCACGUUCAGGGAAGUGUGGACUGAAUGAAGGACACGGUAAGCUUCCAGCCAUGUGGCAGGUUGAUGGAUAGCGAAGAUGGUGAUGGUGGGGAGAAUG